CAAAGCCCCAUUCAUUGUAAAUGCCAAGAUAGAAGAACGAACACAAUUCUCCUAAAGUUCUUCUUGUGUGUUACACAGAACAUCAUGGGAACAACAAACUAUGAGGUUCCUGCUUGGAAAAUGAUUUCCACGGUGAAUGCCCGGCAGUCUUGUUUCCAUUUGCGCUUUGGAAGGGCUCAAUAUGCUAAUUAACGCAGGCUCAGAAAAAUCUCAAUGAAAUGAAUGGGGAAAAACACUUAUGGAACACUGACUGCUAGAGACGUGAGUAGACGAUGCCCGUCA